GUAGGUGGCAAGCGUUGUCCGGAAUUAUUGGGCGUAAAGCGCGCGCAGGUGGUUCUUUAAGUCUGAUGUGAAAGCCCCCGGCUCAACCGGGGAGGGUCAUUGGAAACUGGGGAACUUGAGUGCAGGAGAGGAAAGUGGAAUUCCACGUGUAGCGGUGAAAUGCGUAGAUAUGUGGAGGAACACCAGUGGCGAAGGCGACUUUCUGGCCUGUAACUGACACUGAGGCGCGAAAGCGUGGGGAGCAAACAGGGAUUAGAUACCCUGGCAGUCCACGCCGUAAACGAUGAGUGCUAAGUGUUGGGGGGGGUUUCCGCCCCCUCAGUGCUGCAGCUAACGCAUUAAGCACUCCGCCUGGGAGUACGGUCGCAAGACUG
rnacentral:rRNA from 1 species